UGGGGAUGUAGCUCAGCGGGAGAGCACCUGCUUUGCAAGCAGGGGGUCAGCGGUUCGAAUCCGCUCAUCUCCACCAU
rnacentral:tRNA from 1 species